CGACCGCUGGCGGCGUGCUUACCACAUGCACGUCGAACGGAAAGGCCCUGCUUUUGUGGGGUGCUCGAGUGGCGAACGGGUGAGUAACACGUGAGUAACCUGCCCUUGACUUUGGGAUAACUUCAGGAAACUGGGGCUAAUACCGGAUAGGAGCUCCUGCUGCAUGGUGGGGGUUGGAAAGUUUCGGCGGUUGGGGAUGGACUCGCGGCUUAUCAGCUUGUUGGUGGGGUAGUGGCUUACCAAGGCUUUGACGGGUAGCCGGCCUGAGAGGGUGACCGGCCACAUUGGGACUGAGAUACGGCCCAGACUCCUACGGGAGGCAGCAGUGGGGAAUAUUGCACAAUGGGCGGAAGCCUGAUGCAGCAACGCCGCGUGCGGGAUGACGGCCUUCGGGUUGUAAACCGCUUUCGCCUGUGACGAAGCGUGAGUGACGGUAAUGGGUAAAGAAGCACCGGCUAACUACGUG
rnacentral:rRNA from 1 species